GGCUUUAUUUUUAACUCUCUGGCUGUUAAAGUUUGAACAUGUUAGUUUUUCUUUCCCAGAGCAGAGCUUUUGAGAUCCAUAAGGGGAAAUCUGUUGACGAGGAUACAGGACAACAACAUGUCACAAGGUCCAUGCUGGGUAAAGCAUGGCUCUGGUUGAUGAAGAUCUUCACUAGGACAUGUCUAGCAAGAAGUUGCUGUGGCCAAAGUCCAGAGGUGGCUUCCCAGGCUCUCCUCUAGGAUUUUGAUGGAAUCCUGUCUCACACUGAAGGCCUUCAUCCAUUUUGAAUCUAUUUUUGUGUGUGGUGUAUGGAAAUGGUCCAGUUUUAUUCUUCUGCAUGUGGCUGUCCUAUUUCCCCAACACCACUUGUUGAAGAGACUGUCUUUUGUUCAUUGGAUCUUCUUUCCUGCUUUGUUGAAGAUUAGAUGACCACAGAGUUGGGGGUCCAUUUCUGGGGUCUCUAUUCUGUUCCAUUGAUUUGUGUGUUUGUUUUUUUGCCAGUACCAUAAUGUCUUGAUGAUGACAGCUUUGUAAUAGAUCUUGAAGUCUGGCAUUGAGACGCUGCUAGUUUUGUUUUCUUUCACAACAUUCCUUUGGCUAUCUGGGGCCUUUUCUGUUUCCAUACAAAUUUUAGGAUUAUUUGUUCUAGCUCUGUGAAAAAAAGGGUGUUCUAGUAGGGAUUGCGUGGAAUGUAUAGAUUGCUCUAGGUAGCAUAGAUGUUUUAACAUUUGUUCUUCCAGUCCAUGAGCAUGGAAUGUUUUCCUUUCCUUUCCUUUUUAAAAUUUUAUUUUAUUUAUGACAGAGAGAGAUAGCAAGAGAGGGAGC
rnacentral:lncRNA from 1 species